GACGAACGCUGGCGGCGUGCUUAACACAUGCAAGUCGAGCGAUGAAGUUCCUUCGGGAAUGGAUUAGCGGCGGACGGGUGAGUAACACGUGGGUAACCUGCCUCAUAGAGGGGAAUAGCCUUUCGAAUGGAAGAUUAAUACCGCAUAAGAUUGUAGCUUCGCAUGAAGCAGCAAUUAAAGGAGUAAUCCGCUAUGAGAUGGACCCGCGUCGCAUUAGCUAGUUGGUGAGGUAACGGCUCACCAAGGCGACGAUGCGUAGCCGACCUGAGAGGGUGAUCGGCCACAUUGGGACUGAGACACGGCCCAGACUCCUACGGGAGGCAGCAGUGGGGAAUAUUGCACAAUGGGGGAAACCCUGAUGCAGCAACGCCGCGUGAGUGAUGACGGUCUUCGGAUUGUAAAACUCUGUCUUCAGGGACGAUAAUGACGGUACCUGAGGAGGAAGCCACGGCUAACUACGUGCCAGCAGCCGCGGUAAGAC
rnacentral:rRNA from 1 species